rnacentral:rRNA from 1 species
AGAGUUUGAUCAUGGCUCAGGAUGAACGCUAGCUACAGGCUUAACACAUGCAAGUCGAGGGGAAACGAUAGAGAAAGCUUGCUUUUUCUAGGCGUCGACCGGCGCACGGGUGAGUAACGCGUAUCCAACCUGCCCACCACUUGGGGAUAACCUUGCGAAAGUAAGACUAAUACCCAAUGACGUCUCUAGAAGACAUCUGAAAGGGAUUAAAGAUUUAUCGGUGAUGGAUGGGGAUGCGUCUGAUUAGCUUGUUGGCGGGGUAACGGCCCACCAAGGCAACGAUCAGUAGGGGUUCUGAGAGGAAGGUCCCCCACAUUGGAACUGAGACACGGUCCAAACUCCUACGGGAGGCAGCAGUGAGGAAUAUUGGUCAAUGGGCGAGAGCCUGAACCAGCCAAGUAGCGUGCAGGAUGACGGCCCUAUGGGUUGUAAACUGCUUUUAUAAGGGAAUAAAGUGAGCCUCGUGAGGCUUUUUGCAUGUACCUUAUGAAUAAGGACCGGCUAAUUCCGUGCCAGCAGCCGCGGUAAUACGGAAGGUCCGGGCGUUAUCCGGAUUUAUUGGGUUUAAAGGGAGCGUAGGCCGGAGAUUAAGCGUGUUGUGAAAUGUAGAUGCUCAACAUCUGCACUGCAGCGCGAACUGGUUUCCUUGAGUACGCACAAAGUGGGCGGAAUUCGUGGUGUAGCGGUGAAAUGCUUAGAUAUCACGAAGAACUCCGAUUGCGAAGGCAGCUCACUGGAGCGCAACUGACGCUGAAGCUCGAAAGUGCGGGUAUCGAACAGGAUUAGAUACCCUGGUAGUCCGCACGGUAAACGAUGGAUGCCCGCUGUUGGUCUGAAUAGGUCAGCGGCCAAGCGAAAGCAUUAAGCAUCCCACCUGGGGA